CAGAGGAUAGUUUAAAAAAAAUAUUAAUUUUGGGGAUUAGAGAUGGAGAUUAUUUUCCUCUGA
rnacentral:tRNA from 1 species